AUGGCCUGGACCCCUCUCCUUCUUGUGUUCCUGUCUCAUUGCACAGGUUCCUUCUCCCAGCCUGUGCUGACUCAGCCACCCUCCUUCUCUGCAUCCCAGGGAGCAUCUGUCCGAAUCACCUGCACCCUGAGCAGUGGCUUUAGUGUUGGUAACUUCUGGAUGAGUUGGUACCAGCAGAAGCCAGGGAACCCUCCCUCGUAUCUCCUGUACUACUACUCCGACUCAGAUAAGGGCCAAGGCUCUGGGGUCCCUAGCCGCUUCUCUGGAUCCAAAGAUGCUUCAGCCAAUGCGGGAAUUCUGCACAUCUCUGGACUCCAGCCUGAGGAUGAGGCUGACUAUUACUGUACUACAUGGCAUGGCAACUCUAAGACUCACACAGUGCUACAGACUCACAAGGAAGGCAUCCUGCCUCCACAGCUGUUGCUUCCAAUUCAGGAAGAAGCUGAGCAUCACUAA